GGAGGACGAGCAGCGCACGGCCCGAAAACAGGCUUCCGUUGUCCGCAGGCUCGGCGCCAGGGCAGCGCGAGCAAACCGGAAGUCAGGCCAGAAGGAGCCGGGAGGGCGUUCGCGAAGCCGGUCCUUUGCGAGGGAAGGGGGAGGGGAAGGUGGGCGCGGCGUACUACGUGUCCCGUGAGUCUCCGCGGCGGGACGGGGCGGGGCUGUGGCGACGCGAGGAGGCAGAGGCGGAGCCCGAGUUGGAUUCAAUGCAUUUAUGGAAAAAGAAAAAUUGGAUAGUAAGAUAAUAGUACAGUAUUGUAACAGUGCAAUGGAUUCCUCAGUGGAAAACAACAUGUAUGUAAACAAAGUGUGGGUUCAAUGUGAGAAUGAAAGUUGUUUGAAAUGGAGAUUGUUGUCAAGUGAGGAUGCAGCCAAAGUUGAUCACAAUGAGCCAUGGUACUGCUUCAUGAACACUGAUUCAAGAUAUAAUAAGUGCUCCAUUUCUGAAGAAGACUUUCCUGAAGAGUCUCAGCUUCGUCAAAGUGGGUUUAAGAUUGUCUAUUCACAGCUCCCUCUUGGAAGCCUGGUUUUGGUAAAAUUACAGAAUUGGCCAAGUUGGCCAGGGAUACUUUGCCCUGAUCCUUUUAAAGGGAAAUACGUGACCUAUGACGUGGAUGGAAAUGUUGAACAGUAUCACAUAGAAUUCCUGGGUGAUCCCCAUUCAAGAUCAUGGAUAAAUGCAACAUUUGUUGAACAUUACAGUAUCACAUUAAAGCCAGGAAUAUGUAAGAAGAAGAAGAAGUGGUAUAAAAGUGCACUACAAGAAGCACACGUCCUCUAUGGAUCCUCACAUGAGCAAAGACUAGAAAUGUGCCACCUGUCAAAAAAGGAUAAAUCCAAAGCAGAUGGCAAAGUUUCUGUGUUGGCCAAGAAAAGGAUGCAAGUUUCCAAAAAUAAAACUGAAAAGAAAAAGCCAAAAUUUAGAAAGAGGGAAAGGAAAGCUAUUUUAAAAUGCUCUUUUGAAAAUGUUUGUUCAGAUGAUGCCUUAUCAAAGGAAAACAUGGAUACUUCCAGACCAGUAGCAUUUGCACCUGUGGCCCUUCCAAGGGACAAAGGUAAGAUUUUGAAAAUCCUAGAAAGAUCCAAAUCCUACCCUAUCGUUUCGUCUCCCUAUAGGGUCCCAAGAGGAGAACUAGACAUAGUACAAUUAAAAAUUUUUAAGUACUUUAGGGCUGAGCCAACUCUUGAUGCCUCUCAAUAGAGUUCUAGAAAAGUUGGUUAGUACAGAUAAAUUUGGUCUUAAGGUCUAAGUAGGACAUUCUCUGUCCACAAAUCUAAAUGUUAGAAUUUUUCCACCCACUGAUUUGUUGCAUAGAAUAAGCACUCAAAGUGGUGAGCAGCAUAAUCAAAUGAAAGGGCAGAGGAGAAAAUAGUUUCCAAGGAAAAUUUUGAAAGAAUGAGUUGUUUGCUUUUAGAUGCAUAUUGGAAAGUACUACAAUAAAGAGAGAUGCUCAAAAACAAAACAAGCAAACAAAUGAAAACACGGAUUGCAAGCAGCUUGGAAUAUGCUAGGUAAGAAAAUAAAACUGUUCCUUAUCUUCAGCCUCUCCGCCCAGAAAGAGAUUCUCAAAUUAGGAUAUGGCCUGGGGACUGAGAUCAAGUCCAGGGCAUGAUUCUUGAAUUAUAACAGAAAAGACAAAGACCAAAUCCAGGUGGUUUGCAGGAAAACAUGGCCUCAGAGUAAAGACCCAAUCAGAGGUGUGGCUGUAACACUGCAAAAUAUUACAAAGUGACUUUUAGUAGAUCUUUCAGCUGGACAAAACCUCCUAUAAAUCUUAAAAGGCAUGGUACUGUGCCCAAAGUGCUAGUAAUUACAUCUGGAGAGAGAGGGAUGUCUGGACAAAAAUGUGAUUUUGACACAUGGAAUGAACUGGAAUCAAAUACAUAGAAGACCCACUAAAUUGUAGAGAAAAUGAUAUUGCCAUAGUACUACCAGCCUGAACUAAAAGAGACUGAAAUUGUUUGAGGGGAAAAAAAAGACCUCCAAGCCUCCAAUUUUCUAUAGGCAAGAAACAGCCUGGGGAAACUUCUUAGCCACCAAAAAGAGGUCUAAGUUUCAAUGUCUUCUUCAGAAGCAAAUGAGGAAGAUGAUAGGAAAGGAUAUCUCAGAGGACAGAGCCAGGAGCUGUAGAAAACAAUGGACUGGAGAUCUUCCCUACCACCUCUCCACCCCAGCUUGCUUCCUCUUCCCCUGGGAAUAGAACCCAGGUCUAAUGAAGAAAUAUUUUCUACUCCCAUAGCUGGGGAACUUGGCUAAUUGCCUUGGCUAAUUUCGGAAUUGGCUAAGGACCAAGUUUCCUCCUUUUGAAUGGAGGUGUUUAUUGUGAUUAUCCUGUUUCCAUAUACUACUACAUAUUGUGUGGGUGUGGCCAUGGGAUGGGCCAAUAAUUUGUCUUUUUAGUUCAUAAGUCCAGUUCAUGUCUGGACCUGAUGUAGAUCAUGAAGUCCGAAAUGUUGAGCCUGAUACCAUGAUUAGGUGAGACUUAUGGGUGUCCAUUGAUGGGGAUGGGGAAUGUUUUCAUAUUGGAGGGAUACGAAUAAUGUGGCCAAAGAGGUGGAUAGUAAUUUAUUGAAUUAUUGAUCCAAGUUCUUUGUGUCUUCCUGCAGUGCAUCAUUAUCAUGACCCUAUCAUGGGCAGAAUGUACUUCCCUGCCUUGUGACUUUGAGCUUGACUUCUUGCUUUGAUCAAUAAAAUAGGGCUGAAGCAAUGGUACCAAUUUUUAGUCAAGGCCUUAAGAGGCUUUGGGUGCUUUUUCUUUUCUUCUUGUACCUCUGCCAUCACCUUCAGAAGAACAUGCCUUACCAAGCCCUCUGAAUCAGGGAGGAUGAAAGACCGUGGAGAAGACCCAGACCCACGGAACUGCAGAAUGAAGCAGAGCUGCCCCAGUCUAGCUGGGGAGAGAGACCAGACCUGUGAAGCAAAGCCAGAAUUUGAAGGUGGAAGAGUGGGCUGGCUGGAGAGGAUGAAAGUCCCAGGCUGAACAAAGCACAGAAAUGAGAAAAGCAAGAAGAACAAAUACCUAACCCCAGUAACCAGAGUGCAGGGGGUGGAGGGCGUGAUGGGAAGAAUAUUGUGCAUUAAGGCUGGACCAGACAGGCUGGGCUUUGCUCAAAGAAAGCUUCAUAUAUCACACUAAAGGGGCAGCACCUUCGUUCAGCAGGGGAGCCAGGUUUUGCAGUAGAGAAGAGCAAUGACCACCAGAAUCUCCAAGAUUAAACACCCAAGGGUGCUGGGUGCUGCGACUGGCUUGGAAUCACAUCUUUCUGCUAUUUGCAUGCAUGGAGCAGAUGGGUGGGGGCAGUGGGCAGACAUUACUAUGCCAACCUAUGCCCCUGUGUCUGAAGAAAUCCGUGCCCUGAUGUUAGCUCAGAUUGUUAGCUUCCACAGCGAGCGCCUUAGGGUUGCCAGCAGGCAGCCAGGGACUGGAAGGUUAGGUUCUCCACAAGUCUUAUUAAACUUUCGCCUGCCUGGGAAUAAUGCAACACAGCCGCAGAGUUUUAAAUGGCAAAGGGUCUCCAGUUGUCAGAAAGGUUACAGGUAGAUACUUUCAUUUGUCCUCCAUGGAAGCUUAAUAUCCUUUUCUUCUGUUCAAGUCAACUUAUAGGCCUCAUUACUUCAAGUUCAUCGGGCGGCUAGAGCAGCCUUUUUGAUUUUACUGUCCUCUCAAAAUCAUGUUGGGGAAGAGCUAAUGCAUUUUUAACCAACGUCAGCAAUUUAAAGCUCUUUGGUGCUGUAGCAUAUUAAUACAAUUGUUGGUAACUCUCGGAGAAUGCUGUCUGUGUCAAGAGGGAUUCCCACUAUUGCAAUGUGAGUUCCAGGGGGUAGGGACUACGUGUUCUUCCACUUCGUGACUCUCCCAGACCAUAGCAUAGUGCCUUGCACAUGUUAGAGCAUCAGUUCUAUUUUUAUAUUGAUUUUCAAAUUUCUGCCAAUCUAGCCUGUUCAAAAAUGUUUUCUGACAAGUUUUAUACUUAAACAUUUUUGGUUUGAACCUAAGGUGAUUGUUGCUUUUUUCUUCCAUUUCCCCCAACCCUGACAGCAGACACAUGCUCCAUGGGUUUUCCAUUGCUAUAGUAAUGCAGGGUAUCAGGCAACCCCGAAAUGCCAGUGGCAAACAACAAAGCACAUUUUUUAGUUUGGGAGCCUGCAGCGUUCAGCCUACUUGGUUACUUUCAGCUGAUCUCACUCAUGUGUCUGUGGUCAGCUGCAGGUCUACUUAGGUGUGGUUCUGUUGAUCUUCUAGGCUCAUCCACGUAUCUGGGGACCAGCUAGCAACUGAUGAUCUAGGGCAGUGUCAGGUGGGGAAAUUGGGGCAACUCAGCUCUGUUUUGUGUGCCACCUUUCAUCUUCCAACAGGCUAGCCCAGGCAUGUUCUUGUAGCAAUAGCAGAGGAGCAAAAGCAAGAGUAAGCCUUGUUCUGUCAGUGCAUUCCAAGCCUCUGCUUUCAUCACGUUUGCUAACAUCCUGUUGGCCAAAACAAGUCACACGGCUAAUCCCAGAGCCAGAGUCAGUGAAUAUAGAGCUGGGCCUUUAAUGCAAUCCAUCUAUUACACAUGCUUAUUGAAAAAGGAAGAGAAAAUUUCAAUAAGAAAAUGCAAGUCACCUGCAAUCCUACCAACUACAGAUAAAUCAUUGUUGACGUUUAAAAAAAUCCUUGCAGCUUGUUUCCAAGUAAAUACAUACUUUUAAAAGCACAUAUGAAAUGUCAAUCACAUAAUUGUUUUCAGUGCCUUUUUAUUUUAACUAUAUAUUGUGAAUAUAUGUUUAUGCCAUAAAAUAUUGUUCUUCAACAUGAUUUUUAAUGAUUGCUUAGUAUUUCUAUUGCUAUGUAUUUAAAUCCAUACAAUGAAAUACUCUCUUGAUGGACAUUUAAUUUGUUUCCAUGUUUUCACAAUUAUAAACCACUCUGCCAUGAACAUCCUUAUGCCUUCUUUAUAUACAUUCUUUUUUUUCCAAGUCAUUUCCGGAAGAGGAGCUAAUAAGUCAGAGUGUCUGCACAGUUCUAAGGCUUUUUACAUCUACCAUUUAUCUUCCAUCAGAGGUAUAUGAAAGGGUCUUUUUCUCUGUUAGACUGAGGUUUGGUUUGUACUUGAAUUUUAUGUUACUUAUAACAGUGCACUGGGUUAAUCUUUGUCUUAAAGAACAUUGACUAAACAACUAUGAGAUGGUAGUUUUUUCUCCUAAUUCCUUAGAGAGGGAUGAAAAUUAGCAUUAAUGUAGGCUACCGACUUGGGCCUGAAAGCGACUGAGGUAAGAAUAAUAAAUCAGGCAAUGGACAGGGAGAAGAGAAAAUGUUAAAAGAAACACUUGAUUUAGCCACUAAAUGUCCUUUUGGUCACUCACUCUUGUGACAAAUACUAGUGGAAAAUCAUUGGGCUGGAAAACGUUUUGGUGGACUGAUAAAUUUAAAAAUCUAGGAUGUUACAGUCCAAUGUGGGCAAGGGUAGGGAAGUAGAGGUGCUUUAGAGAAUAAGAUCAAUUUCUACGGAUUCUUUUUAUUAAGGUGGUCAUGUGGCUUUCCUUCAUGUAUUAUAAUCAUGAUCAGUGAAUUUUUUGAUGUUAGAAUACUUAGCUGAUUAUUUUCAAAAUCCGCCUUUCUUGUACGAAAUUGAAAUUGCUUCUAAUAAGAACAUGAAGUCUAUUUUAUUUUCCAUCCGCAUGUGGGAUUAUUUUGUGUAUUUGUAAUUUCUGUUUUUAGUGCCCAGAGAAAAACUGGCUUUGGGUGAUGGUUCUUGUCUCCUUGCACAAAGUAUUUAAAUUCAUUCAAAAGCAUUAUUGCUCCAAAAUUUUGACCUUAUACAUAAUGGACCAUGAGUACCUCCUUCCCAGGGUCUAGGCUUUAUUGCUAAUCCCUGGACCUAGGACAGCAGGCAAUAUUGUUUAUAAAUAUUUAUUGAAUAAAAAAUUAUUUCAUAAUUAGAUAUUUUCUGAAUAAACUAAUUGAUGGAAUUUAUAUUUUGAAAGUAUCUGGAACAAACACCCUUGCCCAAAUGAGGAUUAAAUUUGCCAUCUAACUUAGCCUUUCCAACUGUGUAAGUCCAAGUUCCCAAAAUUGAUUGAACCUUGAAUGUUUUCACAGUUUAGCACUUAAUUACACAUGGGCAUGUAUGCUUCAUUGCUUCUUUCAUGUGUGUAGUAACCAGUCUCCAAGAUGAUUCUCGCCUUCUGGUAUUCACACUCUCAUGUGGGGUUCACUUGUGUAACCAUUAAGGUAUCACAAACAUGACAGAGCGUGACCUCCAGGGCUAGGUCAUAAAAGACGUCGUGGCUUCCACUUUUCUCUCUUUUGGAUCACUCAUCUGGAAGAAUCCAGCUGCACGUCAUGAGGACACUCCAGCAGCCCUAUAGAGAGUUUCACAUGGUGAGAAACUGAAGCCUCCUGCCAACAACCAGCACUAACUUGAUAGCCAUGUGAGUGAGCUCUUUUGGAAGUGAUCCUCCAGUGCUCGUCAAGCCUCUGGAUGUCAGUAGCCCAGGCCAAUAUCUUGACUGCAAUCUUAUGAGACACCCUGAGCCAGAACCACUAGGCUAAGCCACUCCUAGAUUCCUGACCCAUAGAAGCUGCAUGUGAUAAUAAAUGGUUAUUGUUUUAAGCUACUAUGGUUUUGGGGUAAUUUGUUACACAGCAAUAGAUAGUUAAUAUAAUGUGUGACAGGCUUGUCUCAUCAAAUAGAUUGUAAGCUUCUUAAAGAAAAGAACCAUAUAUUUGAUUUCUCAUAGUGACUUACCUGGUAUUGAGAUAAUAUUAGUCAAAAUUAAUGAUGUUAAUGCUUCACAAUUACCUCUAGUCAAGUCAACAAAUAUUUGUUUAAUCCCCACCAGACAUUCUUCUAGGAGCUAACAAAAGCAGUACACAAAAAGGAACAAAGUAAAUGCUAGUGGAUAAGACAUAUAGUAAUUUUAAAAAGUAGAUGUGGACCAGGUCAGGGAAGAUAGGAAGCUAAGAAGAAAAAUAAAACAAAAAUGGGGGCUGCUAUUUUAUAUAUUUGAAAUAGGGUGUCAGGAAAGCUUCCUCUGAUGAGACAUUUGGGCUGAGAGCUGUGUAUGUAUCUGGGAAAGAGCAUCCCAGGCAGAGGGACCACAGUUCAAAGGCCUUGAGACUGGAAAAGUGUGGCAACUCUGAUGCAGCCAAUGCGGCUAAGGCUGAGUUCACUAUUUGUUGCAGAUUUCACUAGUCAGUUCAUUGAGUUUCUCUCAAAUCAAACUUUACAUCUAAAUCUCUCUUGGUGGCUUGAACCUCUCUUUUCCUUGUUUUCUGAAUUUGAACAGGAUACCGGAUAUUGUCCACUUUAAAUAGACCUGUUUAUGUAAAUGAGUCAUUAUAUAAACCUAUAAAUGUGGCUGAUGAGUCAAAUAGGCUAAUAUUUGUAGCUAGAAUGAAGAAUUAGAAAAUAUACUGAUUGUGCCUUUCUUUCAUUGCUUCUGCCACUUGAAGCUUUCUGACUUCAUUAAAGCCAUUACUACCCACCACUAUAUUAUAUAGCUUUUGUAGUAACACAAAUAUGUUUGAAUGUUUCUGACUUUGCAGGAAAUAAUCAGGUUCAAUUAAUAUAUGUUUAUCAAGACAUAAGGGCUCAAAUUGAAAAGUAAUUAGCUCUCCCAACAGAAGAACAAAUAAAAUUCUGUUUCCUAAGUGUUCUGUCAUUCUGUGCUGUGAGUUUCAUCGCUUUUCCCUCUCUUGCUGAAAGAAACAUAUGUCACAAUGAAUCCAAUGAUCACUGAAUAAUGAGUCCUGCCUUGAUUACAGUGUGUUGGUGAUCAUAAAUAAGUGAAUUGUGUUUGCAUUUCAGAGAUACCUGAUUUUAUUUAUUUAUUUUUUUUUUGGUGAGGAAGAUUGGCCCUGAGCUAAGGACAUCU